ACGCACGCUGGCGGCGCGCCUCACCCAUGCAAGUCGCACGAGCGAGAGAGAGCUUGCUUUCUUGAGCGAGUGGCGAACGGGUGAGUAACGCGUGAGGAACCUGCCUCAAAGAGGGGGACAACAGUUGGAAACGACUGCUAAUACCGCAUAAGCCCACGACCCGGCAUCGGGUUGAGGGAAAAGGAGCAAUCCGCUUUGAGAUGGCCUCGCGUCCGAUUAGCUAGUUGGUGAGGUAACGGCCCACCAAGGCGACGAUCGGUAGCCGGACUGAGAGGUUGAACGGCCACAUUGGGACUGAGACACGGCCCAGACUCCUACGGGAGGCAGCAGUGGGGAAUAUUGCACAAUGGGGGAAACCCUGAUGCAGCGACGCCGCGUGGAGGAAGAAGGUCUUCGGAUUGUAAACUCCUGUUGUUGAGGAAGAUAAUGACGGUACUCAACAAGGAAGUGACGGCUAACUACGUG
rnacentral:rRNA from 1 species